AUUGCCCAAUUUAUGAACUAAAUGUUGUUACUAUUGGCUUUGACAUCGCCAAGUCCUCUUAACGCUUGGUUAGAUUACAAGUGUAUGUUUGUUGAAGCUUGUAUACAAUGUAGUGUCUCAAGCAGCAGACAGAAUAUUUCUUGUGCUGUGGUCAAGACAACAUAACACUCAAAUGUAUACAAUUCUAAUUGUAUAUAAUUCAUACUUG
rnacentral:misc_RNA from 1 species